rnacentral:rRNA from 1 species
UACGUAGGGUGCAAGCGUUGUCCGGAAUUAUUGGGCGUAAAGAGCUCGUAGGCGGUUUGUCGCGUCUGCUGUGAAAACUCGGGGCUUAACCCCGGGCCUGCAGUGGGUACGGGCAGACUAGAGUGCGGUAGGGGAGACUGGAAUUCCUGGUGUAGCGGUGAAAUGCGCAGAUAUCAGGAGGAACACCGGUGGCGAAAGCGGCUUCCUGGUCCAGCACCGACGUUCAGGCACGAAAGCGUGGGGAGCAAACAGG